rnacentral:rRNA from 1 species
UACAGAGGUCUUAAGCGUUGUUCGGAUUCAUUGGGCGUAAAGGGCGCGUAGGCGGCAAGGCAAGUCGGGUGUGAAAGCUUGGGGCUUAACCCCGAAAGGGCACUCGAAACUGCCCUGCUAGAGGGCCGGAGAGGAGAUCGGAAUUCACGGUGUAGCAGUGAAAUGCGUAGAGCUCGUGAGGAAGACCGGUGGCGAAGGCGGAUCUCUGGACGGCCCCUGACGCUGAGGCGCGAAGGCUAGGGGAGCAAACGGG